rnacentral:rRNA from 1 species
UUUGUAAUCUGGCGUCUUCGACGUCCGAGUUGUAAUCUCGAGAAGUGUUUUCCGUGAUAGACCGCAUACAAGUCUCUUGGAACAGAGCGUCAUAGUGGUGAGAACCCAGUACACGAUGCGGAUGCCUAUUACUUUGUGAUACACUUUCGAAGAGUCGAGUUGUUUGGGAAUGCAGCUCAAAUUGGGUGGUAAAUUCCAUCUAAAGCUAAAUAUUGGCGAGAGACCGAUAGCGAACAAGUACCGUGAGGGAAAGAUGAAAAGCACUUUGGAAAGAGAGUUAACAGUACGUGAAAUUGUUGGAAGGGAAACACAUGCAGUGAUACUUGCUAUUCGGGGCAACUCGAUUGGCAGGCCCGCAUCAGUUUUUCGGGGCGGAAAAUCGUAGAGAGAAGGUAGCAGUUUCGGCUGUGUUAUAGCUCUUUACUGGAUUCGCCCUGGGGGACUGAGGAACGCAGCGUGCUUUUAGCAUGAGCUUCGGCUUAUCCACGCUUAGGAUGCGGGUUUAUGGCUGUAUAUGACCCGUCUU